GAUGAACGCUGGCGGCGUGCUUAACACAUGCAAGUCGAACGGAAAGGCUCCUGCUUGCAGGGGUACUCGAGUGGCGAACGGGUGAGUAACACGUGGGUGAUCUGCCCUGCACUUCGGGAUAAGCCUGGGAAACUGGGUCUAAUACCGGAUAGGACGAUGGUUUGGAUGCCAUUGUGGAAAGUUUUUUCGGUGUGGGAUGAGCUCGCGGCCUAUCAGCUUGUUGGUGGGGUAAUGGCCUACCAAGGCGUCGACGGGUAGCCGGCCUGAGAGGGUGUACGGCCACAUUGGGACUGAGAUACGGCCCAGACUCCUACGGGAGGCAGCAGUGGGGAAUAUUGCACAAUGGGCGCGAGCCUGAUGCAGCGACGCCGCGUGGGGGAUGACGGCCUUCGGGUUGUAAACUCCUUUCGCUAGGGACGAAGCGCAAGUGACGGUACCUGGAGAAGAAGCACCGGCUAACUACGUG
rnacentral:rRNA from 1 species